rnacentral:rRNA from 1 species
AUUGAACGCUGGCGGCAGGCUUAACACAUGCAAGUCGAGCGGGGGAAGGUAGCUUGCUACUGGACCUAGCGGCGGACGGGUGAGUAAUGCUUAGGAAUCUGCCUAUUAGUGGGGGACAACAUCUCGAAAGGGAUGCUAAUACCGCAUACGUCCUACGGGAGAAAGCAGGGGAUCUUCGGACCUUGCGCUAAUAGAUGAGCCUAAGUCGGAUUAGCUAGUUGGUGGGGUAAAGGCCUACCAAGGCGACGAUCUGUAGCGGGUCUGAGAGGAUGAUCCGCCAAACUGGGACUGGGACACGGCCCAGACGCCUACGGGAGGCAGCAGUGGGGAAUAUUGGACAAUGGGGGGAACCCUGAUCCAGCCAUGCCGCGUGUGUGAAGAAGGCCUUAUGGUUGUAAAGCACUUUAAGCGAGGAGGAGGCUACUCUAGUUAAUACCUAGGGAUAGUGGACGUUACUCGCAGAAUAAGCACCGGCUAACUCUGUGCCAGCCGCCGCGGUAA